rnacentral:rRNA from 1 species
AUACGUAGGGGGCGAGCGUUGUCCGGAUUUACUGGGCGUAAAGGGUGAGUAGGCGGUUAUAUGUGUCCGACGUAAAAGGCUAUGGCUUAACCAUAGUUAGCAUUUGAAACUGUAUGACUUGAGUGCAGGAGAGGUAAGUGGAAUUCCUAGUGGAGCGGUGAAAUGCGUAGAUAUUAGGAGGAACACCAGUGGCGAAGGCGACUUACUGGACUGUAACUGACGCUGAGUCACGAAAGCGUGGGUAGCAAACAGGAUUAGAUACCCGGGUAUUCCACGCCGUAAACGAUGAUUACUAGGUGUUGGCCAGCGAUGGUCAGUGCCGCAGUAAACACAUUAAGCACUCCGCCUGGGGAGUACGGUCGCAAGACUGAAACUCAAAUGAAUUGACGGGG